rnacentral:rRNA from 1 species
CGACCCCAGGUCAGGCGGGACUACCCGCUGAGUUUAAGCAUAUCAAUAAGCGGAGGAGAAGAAACUUACAAGGAUUCCCCUAGUAACGGCGAGCGAACCGGGAUCAGCCCAGCUUGAGAAUCGGGCGGCACCGCCGUUCGAAUUGUAGUCUGUAGAAGCGUCCUCAGCGACGGACCGGACCCAAGUCCCCUGGAAGGGGGCGCCAGAGA